rnacentral:sRNA from 1 species
UCUGGGCAUAAUGGUGUUUGCCUGUAGUCCCAGCUACUCUGGAGACUGAGGCAGGAGGAUCACUUGAGCCUGGGAGUUCAAGGCCAACCUGGGUAACAUAGUGAGACCCUGUCUUAA